AUGCCCAGUGAUUAUAAAAAGACGCGUUAUUCUGAGGGUCCCACCUUCUGCCAGUCUGUUCUUAAACCUUGCCUCUUUCUCUCCUCUAAACUCCACACUCUCUCUCCAUCCUCCUCUCUCUCUCCCUCUCUCCCUCUCUCUCAUUCUGUUCUUAUUCAAUCUGGCUGAAGGUCCACUGACUGCGAUUAUGAGACCUGAGGGCAU